GUGCUCGCUUCAGCAGCACUAUACAAAAAUUGGGAUGACACAGAGAAGAUGGCCUCUGUGCAAGGAUGACAUGCAAAUUCAUGACGCGUUCCAUUUUUUU
rnacentral:snRNA from 1 species